ACCCGGCAGAAUAAAUAUGGGUCAACAUCAGAAGAGGAAACACGGAGAAAUGGAAGAGAGAGUGCGCCGAAUCAUGAGAGAGAAGAGUGCGGAACUUUCCAGAGCGUUCUAUUUACUCGCGAAGCGCAGUGCAUGUUCGAUCUUCCGUCG
ensembl:ncRNA F54D5.18 ncRNA